CAAUAAUUAAGAAUGUUAAUGGUAAUUAAAGAGUUAAUUAAUGUCAAUCGAUAUAGGUAAAGUCGUAAAUCAAGUGUGUAAUGAUUAAAAUUUCGAUAUUAAUUUGGGUUGAUGGAGGGUAGGUUGUCAGCUAUAGAUAAGUCAUUGUUGGUGUGGCGUAUACAGCAACGCGUGCCCCUCGACCAGCAACAUCACAGAUGUUACGUCAUACAAAUGCCCUUUUAUGUCGAUUAUAUCCCAUACAAUAAUGUUAAAGAAUCUCCCCCUGCCUACAUCCUACCCUGAUAAUUGUACAUCAAACAGUUGCACGAUAUAUUGCAUAAUCGAUGUCCGUCGACGUAGACGGAGUAUAAGUCAUAGGUCGUGUAACCGCCCUGAUGACAGCGGCGUAAAUCGCCAUAGUUUCCACCUCUUUAGUGCGAUAAUAAUACGAUGCACGCCGUCGGGGUAGCAGUAAGCUUAUCCCUACAGUGUGCAUUGUAUCAAGUAUGAUAUAUCAAAAUUAACCCUACAGUAUAGCCAGUUAUUUUAAUUUUAGAUAAAAAUUGUACGUAACAUUUUGAUUUUGUGUAAUUUAUUAAUAAAAACUGAAUAUAUUUAUUAUUUAUUUAUUUGUUUGGAUUAUGACACAGCGGGCGGUCGGCCAUAUAGCAUACAUGAAAUAUAAGUUUUUUUUGACGAAAAAAGUUUUAGUUAAUUUUUUCUUAGGAUAGAUAAACAUUAAAAAUUUGUUUUGCCGCUUUAAAAUAUGUUUAACUAAAUAUUUUCAUCGAAGAAGUUUUAUUCUCCAAUCCCCCUUCCUUAAAACAUUCAUGCGCUUAAUAGUCAAUAGCUCUAGACAAAAUAUAUUGUUACUAUAUUCCUACUGUUACUUUAAAGUAUAUUCUUUUAAUUUAACUUUUAGAACCCCACAUUUUAGAUUCGAUGCGAAGCUGAGAAGGUAUUACUUUAACAUGAUGUGUUAAUUUUUUUUUGUGUCUGUCACUAGUAGGGUAAUUCUAAGCCCUCUCCGCUUCAUCCACCCCCACCACAACACCGUAGUGAUGGGGAAGAGGGGGGAGUAAAUCCAACGUAAACUAACAUAUUGCAAUGGGAGGGGCAAUGACGAAAGCCAACGUAAACUAACCUAAGAAGAACCUCUCCUCUUCCACCAUGUCUUACGAUUGGGGUGGGGGAAUGAAACUUAAGGUAAUCUAACUUAAUAGGAAAGUUGGGGGGGGGAUGAAACACGACGUAAACUAACACAAAUUGUCACGCGCCUAAAUUAUGCUCGGCCAUAUAGUAUAUACAUAAUAUCGGUUAUUUGACGAAAAAAAAAAAUGCAUUUUCCAGGUAAGCUAUACGGUUACGGUGAAAAAUAUAAAUUUUAAAUGUCGAAUCCGCUAUUUUGAUAUGCGACAUGCAUAUAUUUAGAUAAAUUAUGUACGGAAAAUGUUAAUUUUACCUAAUUUGUAAAAAAAAUUAGUUCGAAACAUUGUAUUGUAACAUUGUAUAUAUAUAUUUUGUCUGAAUUAUUACUGGUAUCCCUCCCAUUGUUAUAAAUCAUUUCUGUAUUUAACAACUGUAAUUAAUUAUUUUUAAUAAAAUAAUAGCUUCGACUGGACGGAUUGCAUUCUUCAUCCAUCAACACAUUAGAGACGGCAGACGGUCAUAAUUUUUACAAAGGCGUCUGUUUUAAAUCCUAAUGACAUAUAUGUCUAAACAUUUCACUUUAAGACUGAAUGUUUUCACGCUAUUAUAAAUAACGAUUCAAUUUAUCAACUAAUUGUCUUGGAUAGCGUUUAUAAAAUUUAAUGUAAGUGCUGUAUAACAUGUAGAAACUUGAAUAUUUUUUUUUCAGACCACUUGAUAUACUUUAGUCAUUUUGCUCACGAUAUACGAUGUACUUGUGCGAUUAAUGACCGCGCACCACCAACAUUGGUACAGCGGUUAAUACAGUAACAAUCCGUAUUUAUAAAGACAUCAAUAAAGAUUAUAUUCACUCUUUGACUAAGCGUUAUUAACGGCUCGUUAACAUAUUGCUUAAAAAUAUUCGGUUAAACGUAAGCAAGUACUAGUAUUUAUUUUUUAUUUAAAUUUAAAAUCGAAUAACAAUGGCUGAUGUUAAUUUUACUGGUGCUGCACAAGGUAAGUUUUUUUGAUUGAAUAUUUCGAUAUUUUCGAUACACAAAUUGUUUUAUACACAUUAUAUCAUAGCCACCUCUUCCGCGACUGUUCCACACCAUCAUUCAGUUAAACGUAGGGCUAACAACAGUAGGGUAGAAUCGAAAAGGUUGCGUAUACAAUUGCCGGACGCGAAAAAUUUCAUCGAGAUUGAUUCCGCAUUGAAGCGAGGAGCCGUUUGGUUUUAUCGGAAAAACGUGGAAAAUUGACAAUCGCAUAGGUAUCUAUACUUUUUUUUUUAUCUUUGAAUUGACACCAGGGAGGAGUACUGCCUUUGCUUUGCUUUCCCCCGAGAUGCCAACGUUUAUUUAUUUUAAAAACACCAAUUUUAUUUGCUAUGUUCUUAAUCUAUUCUAAUACUAAACAUUCAUUAUUUUAUCUUAAUUCUACUGUACAUUAUUUCAUCUAUUUACAAUAUUACACAUUUGAGCCCUGCUCCCGGAUCUGUCCAUUUAUCUUCUUAGGUCGUCUAUCCAGACCGCCACCUUCAAGUCACGUACCCUGCCUCCGCCUUUCCUCGCACUCUUUUGUCACCAGUAUGUUCUCCACGUAUGUCCUUACCAGAUCCCAUUCCUGUCUGCUCCUCAGCAUGAUUCGCACAAUGCUCUCCGGCGUGACUUGUGCAUUCAGGUAUGCUUCCAAAGUCAUAAGCUCUCUACACCAGCAUUCACACUGGAAAAACGUGUGUUCUGCAGUGUCGAAUUGGGCCCCACAGGACACGCACUCCGGACUGGCCACUCUCUUAUACUUGUAGAGGUAGGUCUGAAAAUAUCCAUGACCCGAUAAGAACUGAGCCAUGUGGAAAUCGACCGUUCCGUGGUUACGUUCCACAACCUUUACAAGGUUGUACAAACCUUUACGAGUGGGCUAUGAGUCAGCCCAUGCCGUACGGUGGCUUCCGGUGGUAUGAAGGAGCAGAUCCUCUGGCCGACCUCCAAUUGCUUUCGGACAAUGGUAAUACGGGACGAAUAUAUGAAGUGGACGUAUCGUAUCCAGAAGAGCUGCAUGACGAGCACAACGACUUGCCGUUCUUGCCUGGCAACGAUGUACCACCGGGUUCCAAGGAGACCAAACUCAUGGCCACUUUGAAACCCAAACAACGGUGCACCGCGUUUUAGAGUUUCAACAAAGUGCUUGGUUGAAACCGUACAUUGAGUUGAACACUGAAAUGCGGAAACAGGCAGCAAAUGCUUUUGAAAUAGCGUUUUUCAAAUUAAUGAAUAAUGCCGUCUUUGGAAAACCAUGGAGAACAUGUGGAAACGUAUCCGCAUUGAACUAAUCUCCAGGUCCGAACGUCUAAGCAAGCUCGUAAACCAACCAACCUUCAACGACUGUAUCAAAUUAGCUACCUGUAUUUGUAAACCCUUGUGUAUUAUAUAUGUAUAUUAACUCAAAAAUUUGAAACUUUAAAUGUUUAUAUUUAAUAAACAAAUAAAAGUAUAUUAAAAAUUCAAAUGCAUUCUACAAUUAAAUUAAAAACUCAAACAUUUUAUUAAAUUCAAAAUAUGUACUCACAUUUAAAAAAAAAAAGUUGACACCCUUACUAGGCAUAAGGGAUGAACUUAAAAAGUUUUACAUAGUUAAUAAUUCAAGAAUAAUGUGUAACUAAGGAUAAUAAAAAAAAAAAUGUUUAUUGUAAUUAUUAUUAUUUUGUAAGUAAUUGAGGGGUUAUGAUAAAAAAAUCACUCUGUAUACAAUGUAUUUUAUGGUUGCAUUUUUCAUGUGAAUUUUAUUAAAUAAUGCGAUUUUUGUUUAUAUUACUCAGUUAUCUCAAAAAAGGUCUCACUGCAUUUAAUGAGAUAGUAAACAAUUAUUAUGUAUCAUUGAUGCGCUGUAAGUUGCCUU